UGUAGCUCACUUAUGGGACCUUGCAUAAGAUACUUCUCUCUAUGACUGUAUUCCUCAUCCAUAAGACAGAAAUAAUAGUGCCAUUUUCAUAGGGUUAUUAUGAGCAUUAAAUGAGUUAAUAGGCAAUAUAUUUUAGAAUGGUGCCCACGGUCUAAUAAGUUCUAAGUAAGUCAUAUAUUAUUAUUAUAUCGUAAAAUAUAUCCCAAACAGAAACUUUUAAUUAAUAAGAAAAUAUGAAGUAAAUAUAUUUUUAAUUGUGUGAUGUGAUUAAGGGUACAAAAGUUUUGACAUCACUAAAACAUUAAUUAUUAAUAACCUUAGCCAGAUAAAUGUGAUUUAAAAUGCAAUACUACUUUCAACUAUUUUGGUUUACUUGGUGAUAAAGGAAUUCAUGGCUCUGUUUUAAAAUUAUAAACAAAGAAUAUUUGGCACAAAAAAAAUCAUAAAUUAAUUCAGUCAUUUCCAAACUCCCUCACUUUAAAUAUUCUCUACAUUCUAAUUUAUUUUUAGAUUCAUUUAUGUUUUUAUUCAUUUUUAUAAUGAUGAGAAACAUUAAAUAUAGAUUUUUUUUCCAAAAUCUUUACAAGUUAGAAAUCUAAUGAUACUCACUUGCCACGACAGAAAAGUGAGCAAACCUGGAACAAUUUUCUUUUUUGAAUU